GGCCGUGUGGUGUAGUGGUAGCAUACUUGCUUUGGGUGCAAGUGGUCCAGGGUUCAAGCCCCUGCUCGGCCC